AGAGGCUGUGAAAUGACAGAUGAAUGAACCCAUCACACCUGAGAGAACUCAACCUGAAUGAGAACCAAAUAGAAAACUCAGGAGUGAAUCACUUAUGUGACGUACUGAAGGAUUCACACUGUAAACUUGAGAGAUUGAGGUUAAGCAGCAGUGGUUUGACAGAUGAAGGUUUUUCUGCUGUGACAGGUCUGAAAUCAAACUCAUUACACCUAAGAUAACUGAACCUGAGCGGAAAUGAACUCAGAGACUCUGAAGUAAAACAUCUCAGUGAUCUACUGAUGAACACACAAUUCAAGCUGGAGAAACUAAAGUUAGUAUCACUGUACUUUAUAGCAGUUACUGUAUGACUAAUGAUUAUUGUUUACUUUGAUUAAAAUCCCCAUGAAAUA